rnacentral:rRNA from 1 species
CCCGGGUGGCUGCAGUGGGGGAUAUUGCUCAAUGGGGGAAACCCUGAUGCAGCGACGCCGCGUGGGUGAAGAAGCGCCUCGGCGCGUAAAGCCCUGUCAGCAGGGAAGAAAAUGACGGUACCUGAAGAAGAAGCCCCGGCUAACUACGUGCCAGCAGCCGCGGUAAUACGUAGGGGGCAAGCGUUAUCCGGAUUGAAUGGGUGGAAUGGGGGCGCAGACGGCGAUGCAAGGCAGGAGUGAAAGCCCGGGGCCCAACCCCGGGACUGCUCUUGGAACUGCGUGGCUAGAGUGCAGGAGGGGCAGGCGGAAUUCCUGGUGUAGCGGUGAAAUGCGUAGAUAUCAGGAGGAACACCGAUGGCGAAGGCGGCCUGCUGGACUGCAACUGACGUUGAGGCCCGAAAGCGUGGGGAGCAAACAGGAUUAGAUACCCGGGUAGUC